rnacentral:rRNA from 1 species
AACGAACGCUGGCGGCGUGCUUAACACAUGCAAGUCGUACGAGAAAUCCUGGGCAACCGGGAGAGUAAAGUGGCGCACGGGUGAGUAACGCGUGGGUAACCUGCCCUUCAAUUGGGGAUAACUCCGCGAAAGCGGGGCUAAUACCGAAUAAUAUUUCAGUUCCCAAGGGACUGAGAUCAAAGGUGGCCUCUACUUGUAAGCUAUCGUUGAAGGAUGGGCCCGCGUACCAUUAGCUUGUUGGUAGGGUAACGGCCUACCAAGGCGACGAUGGUUAGCUGGUCUGAGAGGAUGGCCAGCCACACUGGAACUGAUACACGGUCCAGACUCCUACGGGAGGCAGCAGUGGGGAAUCUUGCGCAAUGGGGGAAACCCUGACGCAGCGACUCCGCGUGGGUGAUGAAGGCCUUCUGGUCGUAAAGCCCUGUCAGGUGGGAAGAACCGUACUGAUGCUAAUAUCAUCAGUACCUGACGGUACCUCCGGAGGAAGCACCGGCUAACUCCGUGCCAGCAGCCGCGGUAAUACGGAGGGUGCAAGCGUUGUUCGGAAUUACUGGGCGUAAAGCGCGUGUAGGCGGUUGGGUAAGUCAGAUGUGAAAGCCUUCCGCUCAACGGAAGAAGUGCAUUUGAAACUACCUGGCUAGAGUACGGGAGAGGAGAGUGGAAUUCCCGGUGUAGAGGUGAAAUUCGUAGAUAUCGGGAGGAACACCAGUGGCGAAGGCGGCUCUCUGGUCCGAUCCUGACGGUGAGACGCGAAAGCGUGGGGAGCAAACAGGAUUAGAUACCCUGGUAGUCCACGCCGUAAACGAUGGGCACUAGGUGUAGGAGGUAUUGACCCCUUGCGUGCCGAAGCUAACGCAUUAAGUGCCCCGCCUGGGGAGUACGCCCGCAAGGCUA